AUACGGAGGGUGCAAGCGUUACUCGGAAUCACUGGGCGUAAAGCGCGCGCAGGCGGGCUGAUAAGUUGGAUGUGAAAGCCUACGGCUCAACCGUAGAACUGCAUCCAAAACUGUCAGUCUAGAGGGUGGGAGAGGAAGAUGGAAUUAGUUGUGUAGGGGUAAAAUCCGUAGAGAUAACUAAGAAUACCAAAAGCGAAGGCAAUCUUCUGGAACACUACUGACGCUGAGGCGCGAAGGCGUGGGGAGCAAACAGGAUUAGAAACCCCAGUAGUCC
rnacentral:rRNA from 1 species